rnacentral:rRNA from 1 species
GAUGAACGCUGGCGGCGUGCCUAAUACAUGCAAGUCGAGCGAACAGAUGAGGAGCUUGCUCCUCUGACGUUAGCGGCGGACGGGUGAGUAACACGUGGAUAACCUACCUAUAAGACUGGGAUAACUUCGGGAAACCGGAGCUAAUACCGGAUAAUAUAUUGAACCGCAUGGUUCAAUAGUGAAAGACGGUUUUGCUGUCACUUAUAGAUGGAUCCGCGCCGCAUUAGCUAGUUGGUAAGGUAACGGCUUACCAAGGCAACGAUGCGUAGCCGACCUGAGAGGGUGAUCGGCCACACUGGAACUGAGACACGGUCCAGACUCCUACGGGAGGCAGCAGUAGGGAAUCUUCCGCCAAGGGCGCCCGCCUGCCGGGGCCCCGCCGCGUGCGUGAUGAAGGUCUUCGGAUCGUAAAACUCUGUUAUUAGGGACGAACCACUGUGUACGUACCUCUGCACGUCUUGCCGGUACCUCCUCCGAAAGCCCCGGCUCCCUACGUG